AUGUGGAUGACGGGCCAUCGCCAGCCCCUCAGUCUGGGGACCCCAGGGCCUGGGUCGUCCACAUGCAGAGGCUGCCAUACACACGGAUGUGGUGGCAAUGCCCCCCACAGCUAUCAGGGACCCGAGGACACAGGGGCAAGACUCCGGAGCAGGGCCUUCCUGCAGGCCGGCCACACUCCUGCCUGGAGCCCCUGGGCUGGUACACGGAUCCCACAGGAUUGGGUCUGCACAGGGCUCCUACCCCACCAAGGGCCGCCCCAAUCCACCGGCCUCCCCGAGAACCCCGCUCCAGCUCAGGCCAGGGGGCUGGGGGGCUGGUGCUGCAGGCAGGAGCCAGGACAGGCACCGAGGACCCCAGGGCACCCCAGACGCAGUGCUCUGAGCUGCUCAGGUUCAGGCCUGGAGAUGCACCCGAGAUCCUGCAGGAGCUCAGAACACCAGGGUGGCGGGGAUGGGGAGGGCAUGACAGCCAGGCCCACUGCCAGGCGACCAUUCCUACAGUGGCCCCAGGUCACUGGUGAGAAUCCUGCCCGGAAGCCCCCUCCGUUCCCCACCCCAGGCAGAGGCAGAGGUCACCUGGAGACCCCCGCCUGGGGGUGGGGGCAGGAAGAGGCAGCCCCUUGGGCCCCCCAUCCCCUGCAACAGCCGCUCCAGACCCUCCAGCGUCCCUGCAGCCGUGGCCCAGAGCCCCCNCCCCCGCCGUUGCGAUGCACCCACCGGGCUGGACGGCUCCGUGACCACGUCUUCCUCGGAUGAAAUCUGAGUCCCUAGAGACAACGGUGUCACAGACCCUGCAGGGGAGAGUGGCCAGUCCUCCCCUCAGGGACAAGCCAGGCUCAGGGCCGCCCCCGCGGGGCGCACCUUCAUCAGACUCAGUCGGUCCUGAGAGGGAACGUGGAAGGACAUCGCCUGCUUGCUGGUGGAGGAGAACGAGGGCGCGGAGCCUGAUACACGCUGACGGAGGCCCAGCCCCAGGACGCGGGAGCCCAGUGGCCUCUCUGACACCCCCUGAGCCCCCGCUCCUGAGCUGCGGGUCCCUGGGCGGGAUGGGCGGAGCCCACGUUGCCUCUGGAACUCUUUGCACCGAGCCAGGGGUCUGCACACGUCCGCCCACCCGCGGAGCAGCCGUCCCCGCCCUUCAUCGCCAAGACCCAGGCAGGGUCCUUGCACCAACGGCCAGAAGGGCCAGCCCAAUCUCGGGGCUGCAGCCACCCCAGAGCUCCACCUGUCCAGACAGGGUGGAAAAUGCGUGAGCGGAGGGUGGGGGCCGGCAGAGGUGCAGACUCCAGCCGGAGGGAGCCCCGCCCCCAGUCCCUCCAGGUCUCCCCCCAGCCUCUACCAGGCCGGGCACUCACGCUCCACGGGGAUCUUGCAGAACCUGACGAGCAGGAGUGGGCAGCAGAGAUUGGGGAAGUGCUGGCAGCCUCUUUCUCAUCGGUCCUGUCUGGCCUCUGGCUUCUGCGCUGACACCGGUCCAUUCCGGGGGGCGGGGCUUAGAGAAAGGGGCAGGGCUCCAGACCACCAGCUGCAGAUACGAGCUCAGCUCAGCUCGGAAAGGCGGGGGCCCGAUGGAGCAGUGGAGGUUAGGCAGGGGAGGGGCCCAGCUACCUGUGGAUCAGGUGGGUGGCUUAAGCACCAGGCUGUGAGCCAGCGGCCAGGUAGAGUCGAGGGCGCGGCAGAUGAACUCAGGAGCGUCUCUGCCCAGCUGUAUGUGUCCAGGUGCUUCUGAAAUAGCUGCGGAAGAGCAGGGCAGGUC
rnacentral:lncRNA from 1 species